rnacentral:RNase_P_RNA from 1 species
AGAGUUUUCCCGGCGGACGCGGAGGCAAUGCUUUACGCUCCUUCGAGGAAAGUCCGGACACCAAGGGCCACCGUAGCGGGUAACACCCGUCCAACGUGAGUUGCGGACCAGCGCAACAGAAAGGAAGUACAGGGCCUUGCCCCACUCCUUGGCAAAGAAUGGGGCCGGCGGCAUGCCACAGGUUACGACUUUUAACUGCCGCCAGCUGCUGUAGUGAAAUCAGGUAAGCUCUACGGGGUGCAAGAUCAAACAGGGGAGGAAGAAUCUCUUCCGCGCGGCCCACGCGAGUUCCCCGGGUAGAUCGCUUGAGCUUGUCGGCAACGGCAAGACUAGACGAAUGUCCGUCAUGGACCUUUCAAGAGAUGUUUUCGAAGCCUUUCUUGAAAGUCCAAACAGAAUCCGGCUUACGGGAAAACUCUCCUU